rnacentral:rRNA from 1 species
AGUGAACGCUGGCGGUAGGCCUAACACAUGCAAGUCGAACGGCAGCACAGUAAGAGCUUGCUCUUACGGGUGGCGAGUGGCGGACGGGUGAGGAAUACAUCGGAAUCUACUUUUUCGUGGGGGAUAACGUAGGGAAACUUACGCUAAUACCGCAUACGACCUACGGGUGAAAGCAGGGGAUCUUCGGACCUUGCGCGAUUGAAUGAGCCGAUGUCGGAUUAGCUAGUGGGCGGGGUAAAGGCCCCCCAAGGCGACGAUCCGUAGCUGGUCGGAGAGGAUGACCACCCAACUGGGAACUGGACACCGUCCCACCCCCCCCGGGGGGGCCGCAGGGGGGAAAUUUGGCAAAUGGGCGAAAGCCUGCCCCAGCCAUCCCGCGGGGGUGAAGAAGGCCUUCGGGUUUUAAACCCCUUUUUUUGGGAAAAAAAAGCAGCAGGUUAAUCCCCCGCUUUUCUGACGGUACCCAAAGAAUAAGCCCCGGCUAACUUCGU